rnacentral:tRNA from 1 species
GCCCUCGUAGCUCAGUUGGAUAGAGCAAAGGUUUCCUAAACCUUAGGCCGCACGUUCAAUUCGUGUCGAGGGCGCCA